rnacentral:lncRNA from 1 species
UAUAUUUUCAAGCUCAUCAUUUUUCUUUUUAAUUUUUAUGUAUUAUGUACAAGUUCUUUUCCAUUAAGCAAUUAAAAUGACCUCUGUAGUGAGUUUAAGGCAAGUUAAUCCAAAUCAGUUGACCAUAUGCACCAGAUUAUGAGAAAUCGUUUAGGAUUAAUUGCUCGAGUCAAAUAAGCUCCUAAAAAGAGAAUAAGAUAUUGAGCUUUUCGUAUAAGGGAUUAUACUUGAGCUUAGGUCUACUAAGAUAAAAUCAAUUCAUGUUCAAAGAUCACCUUACCAACAUGUGACUGCCAUCCCAAAUUUCACACAAGGGUCAAGUCCCAUUGGCAAUAUCAUAGCGUGUGCAGUCUAGAUGGUAUAUGAAAAAACUAUACUAAGUAUUCCAUAAAGAUCUAAACAAAAUAAUCGAAAAUAUGCUACAACACAUCAAUUACACUCAUACUUGGUCAUAUGAGGCACCUUCAAGUUUGUCAUAUACAAUGCUGUAGUUAUAAAAAAUAAUAAAUUUUUUUUAAAAAAUCCCCUUUUUUAAAUAAAUGUGCCAAUAAUGCAAAAUAAAAAAUUCAACACAUAAAAUAACAACAAAAAUAUGCAUAUGCCAAUGCAAACCUGAUAAAGAUGCACAUACAUGAACCUACCACCUAUAAAGCAAGUACAAAAAUGAGAUGCAUGUGAUAAUGAUUUAAUCACAAUGAUUAAGCACAAAUACGCACCAAAACUACCUAAUUAGUUAGGUAUAUAAACGCUCCUACCUUUAAGAGCACUGUGAUCUAUUUCAAGAUUUUCAUAUUACUCCUUUACCCAAACUUGUCUAGUGGAAGAAUUAAUCCUUGAAAUGCUCUAGUUCGACUUGAAGGUCCUAUUUAGCGAAUUUAUUUUGACCCAACAUGCAAAAUUAUACAAUUAAAAGCAACAAGUCACUUUUUAAUUGUGUCUAGAUGGUUAAUCAAACAAGUUAAAUUAUCCUACGUUGAACUGCCAUAGUUUGUAAUGAGAAAGUAAUAAAUAACGCAAGAAUUGUUGACAGAGAAAUCCAACUGGGUAAAAACUCUGGGACCAAGCCAGUAAUAUCUACUACCAACAAUGAUGAACUUACAGUACGAUCCAAUCUAGAAAACUCCACUAGACUCGUUGAUCUUUAUUUCUAUUGAAGUUCUGAUUUCUAUUUUUGUUCAGAAAUUUAUGACACCUUGGCAUGAUAUGUCAUAACUCUCCACAAUUAAAACAAGUAGGGAUAAACCUAAGACCAAAGUUAUGUAGUUGUUGAUUUCUAUUCCUAGGUUGGUAGGUCCUAUGCUGUCUAGCAGGCUUUCAUCCUACAAGUCCCUUAUUUUUAGGUUCACGGUUGGGGAUAAACUUAAGCUUGUCAGUGGUAGGGACAAAAAUGAUCUUAGAAGUACUAACAUCAUUGUAAUCAUUCUAUCCUAGACCUCCCUUAUUAUAAGUACAAAAAUGAUCUUAGAAGUGGUAGGGACAAAAAUGAUCUUAGAAGUACUAACAUCAUUGUAAUCAUUCUAUCCUAGACCUCCCUUAUUAUAAGCAGGCUUGCUCAUUCCUAAGAUGCUAUCAAACUUUACUGAACCACUAGAGAACUCAAGGAGUUAGGUGUUGGAAUCCUCAAAAUCGCUUAUCAUGGUCUUAACCUUAUUUUCUAAAGACUCAUUCACAACACUCAACUCAGGAACUCUCUUAGAGGACUUCUGAAGAUCACUCAUCAGAUUGUUAACAUGAGUAUCUAAAGAUUCAUUCACAGAGUUCAACUUACUCAGGAAUAAAGUAGAUUCUUUAAGGUCAACUAAAAGCUUUUCUUUCUGUAAUUCAAGAUAUUUCACUUUCGUACACUAGGCUUUAUUUUUAGUCAAAAUCUUAAGGCUUUCCUCAUACUUAUUAUUACCACUUCGUGGAGCUAAUUAUGGAUAGAUCUCUACAGUGAGGUCUCCAUGGGGAUUAGAAGGAGGACAGGAGGGCCUCCUCCCAGUGGAUGCUAGGAAAGAAUCUUUCAAACCAAAAUUUCAUUAAGAAAUGUUAGGAAUUUAUCCCUACUAUAUAAAAAGGAGAAUGUGAAGUUACUGUAAAAAUCAACAGUGAAUUGUUCCAUUUAUCUUACUAUAGCAAUUUUUUUUCGUUGUGGGAGUAAAAACAACGUCGUUUAUCUUCAAUCAUUUCUCUAUUUUCACACGUCAUUUUACUGCAACCAUUACCUCCACUGCAAUAUUUUUCCAUUUUUACACACUACUUCACCUCAUCUAACCCAACUGAUAAGGAAAAAAACUGAAUGAUUUAACAAAUUAAACAAAAAAAAUUACAGGCAAAAAUAAAAAGAAACAAAAAAGUGGAAGAGGUAAAUAUAGAAUGAAGUCUUUUUAACUUACAACUAUGUAAUAAAAAAAAAAAAAAAAAAAGAGGCACACGCACUUUUCAUGCCCAGAUUUUUGAGAAAAAAUCUCAUUUUUUUAAUAUAAAUCAUUUAAUAUUUUAGAUUUAUUUUACUAAAGAUUUAAAAAAAUAAAAAUAAAAAAUUAGUCUCCAUCCCCCGUUCACUCAGUGCACAAAGCAUACGGAGUGGCACUCCGUGCACAGAGCGAACAUUUUGCCACGUUUCGCAUAUAUUUUACCCUUUUUAUGUAUAGGGCCUUCGUAUGUUUUCAUGCAAGCAGUUCCCCUGUUUAACCACGUUCUAUGCUUGUAUGAUCAGGCACCGUUUCUGACACUAUGAUAUGUCACCGCAAUGAAUUUGACUUCUUCCUUUGUAGUCAUGACGGGAUUCGAGUAAAUUUGAUUCCAUUGAGUAUUGUUUAGAUACGUAGGAUAUUUUGCUUUAUAAUUCUAUUCGAUAUUUGCAUUUCCAGUCAGGGAACUAGCCGUCCAACGCAUUACCAUGUGCUCUAUGAUGAGAACAGAUUUAAUGCAGAUGCUUUACAAAUGCUAACCAAUAGCUUGUGUUAUCCGUAAACUAUCCUUCCUAAAACUUUUAUUUUUUAUGAAUGUACGUUUGCUUGAGGUCGCUUUUAUGUAUUCACAAUUGGAAACCUUUUCCUUUCAGGCAUGCCAGUCCACUUUUGGCGUUGUUAUACUCAAAAGAUUGCAGGAUAUGACUUGAUCACUGAAAUUUGCAAAGUUGUAUCACUAAGUCUGACUUGAGAGGGGAAAAGAUCCCAAGGGAACUGCAAAUAGUAUAAGAUGCAUAACCUUCUCAAGAGAUGAUCUCCUUAUGAAAAAAUAGAACCCAUCUUGGAUGCAAUAUAUGUAAUUGUUUAUAACUUAAAUUUAUAUCAAAAUUCUAAUCACACCAAAUAGAGGCUUACUUUAAAAGCCAACUUUCCAAGAAAACUGCUUGUCUAGAAUGCUGAGAAUCUUCUUUAUUUACCAACAUCACUUGUUUAAUGAACACUGCUACAUGUACACUAUGGUGUACACUUUAAUUUACACUUUGU